UGGCUCAGAUUGAACGCUGGCGGCAGGCCUAACACAUGCAAGUCGAGCGGUAGCACAAGAGAGCUUGCUCUCUGGGUGACGAGCGGCGGACGGGUGAGUAAUGUCUGGGAAACUGCCUGAUGGCGGGGGAUAACUAGUGGAAACGGUAGCUAAUACCGCAUAACGUCGCAAGACCAAAGUGGGGGACCUUCGGGCCUCACGCCAUCAGAUGUGCCCAGGUGGGAUUAGCUGGUAGGUGGGGUAACGGCUCACCUAGGCGACGAUCCCUAGCUGGUCUGAGAGGAUGACCAGCCACACUGGAACUGAGACACGGUCCAGACUCCUACGGGAGGCAGCAGUGGGGAAUAUUGCACAAUGGGCGCAAGCCUGAUGCAGCCAUGCCGCGUGUGUGAAGAAGGCCUUCGGGUUGUAAAGCACUUUCAGCGAGGAGGAAGGGUAAUGUGUUAAU
rnacentral:rRNA from 1 species